CUUCAUGGUAGGUUUUCUGACUCGGUGAGGUAGACUCUCAAGACAGUUCGGCUUGCCUUUCCCUGGUGGCCAGAGAUAGAAACAGAAGUCUGUUGCUCACAGUUCUGGGGCUGGGAAGGCCAGGCCACACACUCAGGACCUGCCCGGCGGCCCACGCGUGGAUGGCCAUCCUCUCACUGUGUCCUCAUGUUGCUCUCUGUGGUCUCUAUGGUGACACUAAUUCUAUUCACAAAGGCUCCCCUUGUGAGCCAGUACCUCCAAGGCCCCGCCUCCUAAUAUCAUCACCGUGGGAGUUAGGACUCCAACAUGUGCGCUUGGGGGAUUGGAUGCUCAGUCUAGCUGAAGAGCUUUCUCUCAGUGUGCCCCAGGUGUGUGCCUGCCAGGAAUCUCGGAAUGUCUUGAGCCUCAGUUCUCGGUCGGUGGAAGGAGCCAGCAGCACCUCAGCUUCCAGGGCUGCUCUGGGAGAAUGUGUGAUUGACAGGAGCAGGGCACAGUUUAUCUGGAACAAAAUGAGAUGGACCAUUUUAUUGCAGCAAGUGAGAGGCAGAAGUGUUUCUAUCUUAGGAGACUUCCACCUUUGUCCCAGCAAUUUCAGUGGGGUUUACCGGCAGUGUUUGCUUCCCUCUAUCCUUUGGUCAAUCAGUGUGAAAGGACAGCCAACAUUUCAAAUAUUUUUAAAUUAA
rnacentral:lncRNA from 1 species